rnacentral:rRNA from 1 species
UACGUAGGGGGCAAGCGUUGUCCGGAUUUAUUGGGCGUAAAGAGCGUGUAGGCGGUCAGGUAGGUCCGUUGUGAAAACUCGAGGCUUAACCUCGAGCUGUCGGCGGAAACCAUCUGGCUAGAGUCCGGAAGAGGAGAAUGGAAUUCCCGGUGUAGCGGUGAAAUGCGCAGAUAUCGGGAAGAACACCCGUGGCGAAGGCGGCUCUCUGGGACGGUACUGACGCUGAGACGCGAAAGCGUGGGGAGCGAACAGG